rnacentral:rRNA from 1 species
AUUGAACGCUGGCGGCAUGCUUUACACAUGCCAGUCGAACGGCAGCGCGGGCUUCGGCCUGGCGGCGAGUGGCGAACGGGUGAGUAAUGCAUCGGAACGUGCCCAGUAGUGGGGGAUAGCCCGGCGAAAGCCGGAUUAAUACCGCAUACGACCUGAGGGUGAAAGCGGGGGACCGAAAGGCCUCGCGCUAUUGGAGCGGCCGAUGUCGGAUUAGCUAGUUGGUGGGGUAAAGGCUUACCAAGGCGACGAUCCGUAGCUGGUCUGAGAGGACGACCAGCCACACUGGGACUGAGACACGGCCCAGACUCCUACGGGAGGCAGCAGUGGGGAAUGUUGGACAAUGGGGGCAACCCUGAUCCAGCCAUGCCGCGUGCGGGAAGAAGGCCUUCGGGUUGUAAACCGCUUUUGUUCGGGAAGAAAUCCUCUGGGCUAAUACCCCGGGGGGAUGACGGUACCGGAAGAAUAAGCACCGGCUAACUACGUG